AUACGUAGGUGGCAAGCGUUGUCCGGAAUGACUGGGCGUAAAGGGUACGUAGGUGGCUAUUCAAGUUAGCUGUGAAAUCCCGGGGCUUAACUUCGGUGCUACAAUUAAGACUGUUUAGCUUGAGUGCAGGAGGGGUAAGUGGAAUUCCUAGUGUAGCGGUGGAAUGCGUAGAUAUUAGGAAGAACACCGGUGGCGAAGGCGACGUACGGGACGUUAACUGACACUGAAGUACAAAAGCAUGGGGAGCAAACAGGAUUAGAUACCCGUGUAGUCCACGCCGUAAACGAUGAAUACUAGUUGUGGGAGGUAUCGACUCCUUCCGUGACGACGGUAACACAUUAAGUAUUCCGCCUGGGGAGUACGGCCGCAAGGUUGAAACUCAAAUUAAUUGACGGGG
rnacentral:rRNA from 1 species